rnacentral:piRNA from 1 species
UGUCAUAGACCUUUAUCUAUGGAAGGGC